rnacentral:rRNA from 1 species
UACGGAGGGAGCUAGCGUUGUUCGGAAUUACUGGGCGUAAAGCGCACGUAGGCGGCUUUGUAAGUUAAAGGUGAAAGCCCGGGGCUCAACUCCGGAACUGCCUUUAAGACUGCAUCGCUUGAAUCCAGGAGAGGUGAGUGGAAUUCCGAGUGUAGAGGUGAAAUUCGUAGAUAUUCGGAAGAACACCAGUGGCGAAGGCGGCUCACUGGACUGGUAUUGACGCUGAGGUGCGAAAGCGUGGGGAGCAAACAGG